UACGUAGGGACCGAGCGUUGUCCGGAUUCAUUGGGCGUAAAGAGCUCGUUGGCGGCUGCUCAAGUCGAAUGUGAAAACUCGAGGCUCAACCUCGAGCCUGCAUUCGAUACUGGGCGGCUAGAGUCUGGUAGGGGGAUCUGGAAUUCCUGGUGUAGCGGUGGAAUGCGCAGAUAUCAGGAGGAACACCGGUGGCGAAGGCGGGUCUCUGGACGGUGACUGACGCUAAGACGCGAAAGCGUGGGGAGCAAACAGG
rnacentral:rRNA from 1 species